rnacentral:rRNA from 1 species
UACGUAGGGGGCAAGCGUUGUCCGGAUUUAUUGAGCGUAAAGCGCUCGCAGGUGGUUCGUUGCGUCGUGCGUGAAAGACCCCGGCUCAACUGGGGAGGGUCGUGCGAUACGGGCGAACUGGAGGCCAGUAGGGGGAUGCGGAAUUCCGGGUGUAGUGGUGGAAUGCGUAGAGAUCCGGAGGAACGCCAGCGGCGAAGGCGGCAUCCUGGACUGGUCCUGACACUCAUGAGCGAAAGCGUGGGGAGCGAUCCGG